ACGGCUCAGUAACACGUGGACAACCUACCCUCAGACCUGGGAUAAACCUGGGAAACUGGGUAUAAUACCGGAUAGGUCUUGGAUGCUGGAAUGCACCGAGGCCCAAAGCUCCGGCGUCUGAGGAUGGGUCUGCGGCCUAUCAGGGUAGUAGUGGGUGUAAAGUACCUACUAGCCUACGACGGGUACGGGUCGUGAGAGCGAGAGCCCGGAGAUGGAUUCUGAGACACGAAUCCAGGCCCUACGGGGUGCAGCAGGCGCGAAAACUUUACAAUGCCGGCAACGGCGAUAAGGGGACCUCGAGUGCCAGGAUACAAUCCUGGCUGUCGUAAUGCCUAAAAAGCAUUAUAUAGCAAGGGCCGGGCAAGACCGGUGCCAGCCGCCGCGGUAACACCGGCGGCUCGAGUGGUAACCGCUAUUAUUGGGUCUAAAGGGUCUGUAGCCGGCCUGGUAAGUCUUUUGGGAAAUCCGGCAGCUCAACUGUCGGGCUAUCAGAGGAUACUGCUAGGCCCGAGACCGGGAGAGGUGAGAGGUACUUCAUGGGUAGGGGUGAAAUCUUGUAAUCCUUGAAGGACCACCAGUGGCGAAGGCGUCUCACCAGAACGGAUCUGACGGCAAGGGACGAAAGCUAGGGGCACGAACCGGAUUAGAUACCCGGGUAGUCCUAGCCGUAAACGAUACUCGCUAGGUGUCGGCCAC
rnacentral:rRNA from 1 species